AUGACCAGCCACACUGGAACUGAGACACGGUCCAGACUCCUACGAGAGGCAGCAGUGGGGAAUAUUGCACAAUGGGCGCAAGCCUGAUGCAGCCAUGCCGCGUGUAUGAAGAAGGCCUUCGGGUUGUAAAGUACUUUCAGCGAGGAGGAAGGCGUUAAGGUUAAUAACCUUGGCGAUUGACGUUACUCGCAGAAGAAGCACCGGCUAACUCCGUGCCAGCAGCCGCGGUAAUACGGAGGGUGCAAGCGUUAAUCGGAAUUACUGGGCGUAAAGCGCACGCAGGCGGUCUGUCAAGUCGGAUGUGAAAUCCCCGGGCUCAACCUGGGAACUGCAUUCGAAACUGGCAGGCUAGAGUCUUGUAGAGGGGGGUAGAAUUCCAGGUGUAGCGGUGAAAUGCGUAGAGAUCUGGAGGAAUACCGGUGGCGAAGGCGGCCCCCUG
rnacentral:rRNA from 1 species